rnacentral:rRNA from 1 species
UACGUAGGGGGCUAGCGUUGUCCGGAAUCAUUGGGCGUAAAGAGCGUGUAGGCGGCCCGGUAAGUCCGCUGUAAAAGUCAAAGGCUCAACCUUUGAAUGUCAGUGGAUACUGCCGGGCUAGAGUCCGGAAGAGGCGAGUGGAACUCCUGGUGUAGCGGUGGAAUGCGUAGAUAUUCGGAAGAACACCAGUGGCGAAGGCGACUCACUGGCCCGAUACUGACGCUGAGGCGCGAAAGCGUGGGGAGCAAACAGG